AGGCUCAGAACUCCUCAGUAUAUUUUAUGACUUUGGUGAUUGGAAAGCACAACUGAAAUAAUGACAAACUGGAAAAGGGUGGUUAUCUUUCUAUUCACAUAUUUCUGGGGCUGUGAUUCUCUGGACAGUGUUGAACAGAAAACAAGAGCUCAAAUUGCUUUUGAAGGUGAAUCUGUAACAAUCAACUGUACAUAUUCAACCACUGAUUCAUUUCCAUAUCUCUUCUGGUACCAGCAAGAAAUAAACGGAUUUCCUAAAUAUAUGCUAAAGAAAUUUCCUGGAUCUGGAACUACUGAGGAUGAAUUUAAGGAGAGAUUUUCUGCAACAUUGAACUCCACAUCAAGAUCUGUUCCACUGACAAUCCAGGAUGUGAGUGUGUCAGACUCUGCUGUGUAUUACUGUGCUCUGCAGCCCACUGUGACUCAAACACACUCAACACUCAUACAAAAACUUAGGGAGACACAUUACAGCGGAUAAAAUAAUCAGCCAUAAAGGGUAUAA